AGACAGGUGCUGCAUGGCUGUCGUCAGCUCGUGUUGUGAAAUGUUGGGUUAAGUCCCGCAACGAGCGCAACCCUUAUCCUUUGUUGCCAGCGGUCCGGCCGGGAACUCAAAGGAGACUGCCAGUGAUAAACUGGAGGAAGGUGGGGAUGACGUCAAGUCAUCAUGGCCCUUACGAGUAGGGCUACACACGUGCUACAAUGGCGCAUACAAAGAGAAGCGACCUCGCGAGAGCAAGCGGACCUCAUAAAGUGCGUCGUAGUCCGGAUUGGAGUCUGCAACUCGACUCCAUGAAGUCGGAAUCGCUAGUAAUCGUAGAUCAGAAUGCUACGGUGAAUACGUUCCCGGGCCUUGUACACACCGCCCGUCACACCAUGGGAGUGGGUUGCAAAAGAAGUAGGUAGCUUAACCUUCGGGAGGGCGCUUACCACUUUGUGAUUCAUGACUGGGGUGAAGUCGUAACAAGGUAACCGUAGGGGAACCUGCGGUUGGAUCAC
rnacentral:rRNA from 1 species